rnacentral:rRNA from 1 species
GAUGAACGCUGGCGGUAUGCUUAACACAUGCAAGUCGAACGGAAGUCUUCGGACUUUAGUGGCGGACGGGUGAGUAACGCGUGAGAAUCUAGCUUUAGGUCGGGGACAACAGUUGGAAACGACUGCUAAUACCGGAUAUGCCGAGAGGUGAAAGAUUAAUUGCCUGAAGAAGAGCUCGCGUCUGAUUAGCUAGUUGGUGGGGUAAGAGCUUACCAAGGCGACGAUCAGUAGCUGGUCUGAGAGGACGAUCAGCCACACUGGGACUGAGACACGGCCCAGACUCCUACGGGAGGCAGCAGUGGGGAAUUUUCCGCAAUGGGCGAAAGCCUGACGGAGCAAUACCGCGUGAGGGAGGAAGGCUCUUGGGUUGUAAACCUCUUUUCUGAGGGAAGAAAAAAAUGACGGUACCUCAGGAAUCAGCAUCGGCUAACUCCGUGCCAGCCGCCGCCGUAACAC